CACACCAGAGUUACCUGGGGAGAUGAUUAAAACUACGGAGUCUUGGGCCCCGCCUUCGGAGAAUGUGAAUCAGUAAGUAAAUCUGGUAGGGCCUGGGAGUUUGUAUUUUUGUACAAAUAAACCAGGUGAUCCUGAUGCUA
ensembl:miRNA predicted gene, 47288